rnacentral:rRNA from 1 species
GAUGAACGCUGGCGGCGUGCCUAAUACAUGCAAGUCGAGCGAACAGAUAAGGAGCUUGCUCCUUUGACGUUAGCGGCGGACGGGUGAGUAACACGUGGGUAACCUACCUAUAAGACUGGAAUAACUCCGGGAAACCGGGGCUAAUGCCGGAUAACAUUUAGAACCGCAUGGUUCUAAAGUGAAAGAUGGUUUUGCUAUCACUUAUAGAUGGACCCGCGCCGUAUUAGCUAGUUGGUAAGGUAACGGCUUACCAAGGCAACGAUACGUAGCCGACCUGAGAGGGUGAUCGGCCACACUGGAACUGAGACACGGUCCAGACUCCUACGGGAGGCAGCAGUAGGGAAUCUUCCGCAAUGGGCGAAAGCCUGACGGAGCAACGCCGCGUGAGUGAUGAAGGUCUUCGGAUCGUAAAACUCUGUUAUUAGGGAAGAACAAAUGUGUAAGUAACUGUGCACGUCUUGGCGGUACCUAAUCAGAAAGCCACGGCUAACUACGUG